rnacentral:miRNA from 1 species
CCUUAGGACAGACGUCAUGUAG